rfam:Angiostrongylus cantonensis strain Taiwan genome assembly, scaffold: ACAC_contig0003448
GGCCGGAUGGUCUAUAGGUAUGACUCUCGUUUCGGUUGCUAGAGGUCCCGGGUUCGAAUCCUGGUCCACCCC